rnacentral:lncRNA from 12 species
ACCACUCCUCUUCUACACCCUCAGUCUUCAUCUUCCUUCUCACCAUUGUUCUGAAAACCAAGAAUUUAUGAUUGCUACUCCCUUCCUCUCAUCCUAAAAUUAUCAGAAAGCUUCAAGAAAGAUUUGGAGCCCCUCCAAACCAAUUGGAAGUCAAUCUGUAGAAUUAAUCUUCCACCUUUCUUGCAUUCACAAGCCAUCAUGUGAAAAUAGAAAAUGGGAUUCUAGAUCUAGAAUUUAGAUCUAUGGUACCUAAAGCAAUGUCCAUCAUCAAGGGUCUACCUGGAUACCUCCAAGAGUGAGGGAUCUUCUUCAUGAUAUAGUUUAUGCCAUCAUUGGGUUAUACUCAUUGCUGACUCUCCAAUCCCAUGAGCAGAUGGAAUGUCCAUGCCCUUUGAACUGCCUCCAGCAUUCUGAAGAAAUGGACAUUGCUUGAAAAUGAAGAUUCUUGUACUCUUAACGUGAUCCUGAAGAUGGUGGUUGGAGGAGAAGAUUGCACAGUGAGCAAGCUUCAAUACUUCUAUUGGAUUUCAGAGCUGGAUGUUGUUCCUAACUCAAGAGUCUUGCUCUAUAUCUUAAGAUUCAUCAGGAAAGUCUUUGUUAACUGCCAGAUGGUAUGUUGACCUAAGGAAAUGGGCCUUUAGCUACUGGAAAUCCAUUGUGCCAAGUGGAACAUUCCUAAAUGAAUAUGGAAGGAGAGAUCAUUGUUUAUGGUCCACCUAUUCACCCAGAAGAGUUGCUGAGUUCUGGCAUUCCAGUAGGGCAGAGGAUGGUGAAGUGACAAAAGACUCGUGAGACUACUUAAAAGUAUUUUUCCCUGCUUAAUUAGGCAAUAAAGAUUUUCCAGGAAACUGAACUUCCUUAAAU